rnacentral:rRNA from 1 species
UACGUAGGGGGCAAGCGUUGUCCGGAAUUAUUGGGCGUAAAGCGCGUGUAGGCGGCUCGGUAAGUCUGCUGUGAAAGUCCAAGGCUCAACCUUGGAAAGCCGGUGGAUACUGUCGAGCUCGAGUCCGGAAGAGGCGAGUGGAAUUCCUGGUGUAGCGGUGAAAUGCGUAGAGAUCAGGAAGAACACCGGUGGCGAAAGCGCUCUGCUGGACCUUAACUGACACUGAGGGACGAAAGCUAGGGGAGCGAAUGGG